rnacentral:rRNA from 1 species
AUCAGGGGUAAACCUGUGGAACUCGAACGAUCGAACGGGGAGAUUCAGCGUAUCUUCGCGGCGUCCGCGUCGCGUCGUCGACCGUCCGUUCGCGGGCGGUUCGGCGGCGUGGCGUCUGCCAGACGUCAGGAGUGCGCGCACUUCUCCUUUAGUAUAACACCGCGACCCGUCAUCGCGGGAGUCUAACGCGCCGGGCGGCAGUCCCGAGUGUCUCUUUCGGGCGACACUCGGAGCCGCGGCGUCGCGACUCCCGGGCGACGGUAGAGAACGAGGAACGAGUCCGCCGGCCUUCGGGCCGGCGACCGAGUCUCGGCGGCGGCACUCUUCGGCUGGAACUCGGCGUUCGCGCGUCGAGCCCUCCGUCGAGCGUCGCGUCCGGCUGAGUCGUCUCGGUCGAGGACUCGUCCCGGU